rnacentral:rRNA from 1 species
AAUCAACGCUGGCGGCGUGCCUAACACAUGCAAGUCGAACGCGAAAGCCCCGCAAGGGGUAAGUAGAGUGGCAAACGGGUGAGUAACACGUGGGUGACCUGCCUUCGAGCGGGGGAUAACGUCCCGAAAGGGACGCUAAUACCGCAUGACAUCCUGCCUUUGAAGAGGCGGAGAUCAAAGCUGGGGAUCGCAAGACCUAGCACUCGAAGAGGGGCCCGCGCCUGAUUAGCCAGUUGGGGGUAACGGCUCACCAAGGCGACGAUCAGUAGCCGGCCUGAGAGGGCGGACGGCCACACUGGGACUGAGACACGGCCCAGACUCCUACGGGAGGCAGCAGUGGGGAAUCUUGCGCAAUGAGCGAAAGCUUGACGCAGCGACGCCGCGUGAGGGAAGAAGGCCU